AUACGGAGGGUGCAAGCGUUGUCCGGAAUCACUGGGCGUAAAGCAGGUGCAGGCGGCUCGUUAUGUCGGGUGUGAAAUCCCGCGGCUCAACCGCGGAACUGCGCCCGAAACUGGCGAGCUUGAGUGCGAGAGGGGGUGGUGGAAUUCCCGGUGUAGAGGUGAAAUUCGUAGAUAUCGGGAAGAAUACCGGUGGCGAAGGCGACCACCUGGCUCGCUACUGACGCUCAGACCUGAAAGCGUGGGGAGCAAACAGAAUUAGAUACUCUGGUAGUCCACGCUGUAAACUAUGGACACUAGGUGUUGGGGGUGUCGAUUCCCUCAGUGCCGAAGCUAACGCAUUAAGUGUCCCGCCUGGGAAGUACGGCCGCAAGGCUAAA
rnacentral:rRNA from 1 species